rnacentral:rRNA from 1 species
UACGGGGGGGGUAAGCGUUGUUCGGAAUUACUGGGCGUAAAGGGCUCGUAGGCGGCCAACUAAGUCAGACGUGAAAUCCCUCAGCUUAACUGGGGAACUGCGUCUGAUACUGGAUGGCUUGGAUUCGGGAGAGGAAUGCGGAAUUCCAGGUGUAGCGGUGAAAUGCGUAGAUAUCUGGAGGAAUACCGGUGGCGAAGGCGGCAUCCUGGACCGACAUUGACGCUGAACGGCGAAAGCUAGGGGAGCAAACGGG